UUCGAUUCCGGAGAGGGAGCCUGAGAAAUGGCUACCACAUCCAAGGAUGGCAGCAGGCGCGCAAAUUACCCACUCCCAGCUUGGGGAGGUAGUGACGAAAAAUAACAAUGCGGGACUCUAAGAGGCCCCGUAAUUGGAAUGAGUACACCUUAAAUCGUUUAACGAGUAUCAAUUGGAGGGCAAGUCUGGUGCCAGCAGCCGCGGUAAUUCCAGCUCCAAUAGCGUAUAUUAAAGUUGCUGCAGUUAAAAAGCUCGUAGUUGGAUCUGGGGCUUGAGGUCGCUGUCUAUCGUUUCGGCGAUGACGGUGAUGCUCAGCUCUGCUUGCCGGUGACUGUUGCGGUGUUCUUCACUGAGCGCUGUAGCAGCACGGCACGUUUACUUUGAAAAAAUUAGAGUGCUCAAAGCGUGCUUGUCGCUUGAAUAAUGUUGCAUGGAAUAAUGGAAUAGGACCUCGGUUCUAUUUUGUUGGUUUUCGGAGCUUGAGGUAAUGAUUAAGAGGGACGAACGGGGGCAUUCGUAUUGCGGUGUUAGAGGUGAAAUUCUUGGAUCGCCGCAAGACGGACUACUGCGAAAGCAUUUGCCAAGAACGCUUUCAUUAAUUAAGAACGAAAGUCAGAGGUUCGAAGACGAUCAGACACCGUCCUAGUUCUGACCAUAAACGAUGCCGACCAGCGAUCCGUAGUGGUUGCUAUAUGGACCCUACGGGCAGCCUCCGGGAAACCAAAGUAUUUGGGUUCCGGGGGAAGUAGGGUUGCAAAGCUGAAACUUAAAGGAAUUGACGGAAGGGCACACCAGGAGUGGAGCCUGCGGCUUAAUUUGACCCAACACGGGAAAACUCACCCGGUCCGGACACCGUAAGGAUUGACAGACUGAUAGCUCUUUCUUGAUUCGGUGGAUGGUGGUGCAUGUCCGUUCUUAGUUGGUGGAGUGAUUUGUCUGGUUAAUUCCGAUAACGAACGAGACUCUAGCCUGCUAAGUAGUGUUGCUAUUGUUAUAUGGUUGACACUUCUUAGAGGGACAAGUGGCAUUUAGCCACGCGAAAUUGAGCAAUAACAGGUCUGUGAUGCCCUUAGAUGUCCGGGGCCGCACGCGCGCUACACUGGAGAAGUCAGCGUGUGUUAUCCAAGUCCGAAAGGACUGGGUAAUCCGUUGAACCUUCUUCGUGCUUGGGACUGUGGCUUGGAACUAUUCCACAUGAACGAGGAAUUCCUAGUAAUUGCAAGUCAUAAGCUUGCGUUGAUUACGUCCCUGCCCUUUGUACGCACCGCCCGUCGCUACUACCGAUUGAAUGGUUUAGCAAGGUCCUCGGAUCGUGGCCGUAGGGGCACGCAAGUGUUUCUGCGGUUUGCGAGAAGACGACCAAACUUGAUCAUUUAGAGGAAGUAAAAGUCGUAACAAGGUU
rnacentral:rRNA from 1 species